AUUAUAUUGGCAGAAUAAUGCAUUAGAAUUAGAAUCUAAUCAAAUAAAU
rnacentral:tRNA from 1 species